CAGAAAUGAAAAUGCAUUUCUCUGAGGCCAGGAAUUGAGUUUCUGAAAUCUGAAUCACUGGGGUGCCUGAAACUCUGCUGUCUAAUGGAUGAAUGGGUUGAAAAUGUGAAGAUAUGAUUACCAUGAAUCCUUUGUACAAGAGAACAGAAUUGGACUCAGCAAGAAUGAGGUCUUGGUUGAAUGGAGAGAGAGGAUAAGAGACAAGACACCCCCGAUACUAUCCUUUCCCUCUCUGUUCCAGGGCAACUCAGUAACAUCCUGAUAUGGGAUAUCAUCAGAAACUAGAGAGUUGACCCACUAGAUCCUGAGCCUGGACUUUGUGCCUUCUGACAACCAAAUCAUUGGCUGGAGCAACAAUUUACUUCUGCCUGAGGAGUGGGCUACAGAGUCCCUCCCAGCCUAUAAACCCUGAAGCAUUGCACCAACUGUAAUGCAUAUCCAAUAUAGUGGAUUUGUUUAUUGGCACCUGCAAUAUGCACUCCUUAACUCUCAAAAAUCAUGUUGUAGGCAUUAACUUAAUGAGAUAAUGAAUAAUUAUUGAGCUUCUACUUGUGCUUAACA
rnacentral:lncRNA from 1 species